UACGUAGGGGGCAAGCGUUGUCCGGAAUCAUUGGGCGUAAAGGGCUCGUAGGCGGUUUGUCGCGUCGGGAGUGAAAACCUCGGGCUUAACUCGGGGCUUGCUUUCGAUACGGGCAGACUGGAGGUAUGCAGGGGAGAACGGAAUUCCUGGUGUAGCGGUGAAAUGCGCAGAUAUCAGGAGGAACACCGGUGGCGAAGGCGGUUCUCUGGGCAUGACCUGACGCUGAGGAGCGAAAGUGUGGGGAGCGAACAGG
rnacentral:rRNA from 1 species